UGGGGAUGACGUCAAGUCAUCAUGGCCCUUACGACCAGGGCUACACACGUGCUACAAUGGCGCAUACAAAGAGAAGCGACCUCGCGAGAGCAAGCGGACCUCAUAAAGUGCGUCGUAGUCCGGAUUGGAGUCUGCAACUCGACUCCAUGAAGUCGGAAUCGCUAGUAAUCGUGGAUCAGAAUGCCACGGUGAAUACGUUCCCGGGCCUUGUACACACCGCCCGUCACACCAUGGGAGUGGGUUGCAAAAGAAGUAGGUAGCUUAACCUUCGGGAGGGCGCUUACCACUUUGUGAUUCAUGACUGGGGUGAAGUCGUAACAAGGUAACCGUAGGGGAACCUGCGGUUGGAUCACCUCCUUACCUGAAAGAA
rnacentral:rRNA from 1 species